rnacentral:rRNA from 1 species
UGCUCAGGAUGAACGCUGGCGGUCAGCCUAACACAUGCAAGUCGAACGGGUUCUUCGGAACCAGUGGCGGACGGGUGAGUAACACGUGAGAAUCUGCCCUCAGGAGGGGGACAACCGCUGGAAACGGCGGCUAAUACCCCAUAAGCCCACGGGUGAAAGUUCCGGCGCCCGAGGAGGAGCUCGCGUCCGAUUAGCUAGUUGGUGGGGUAAGAGCCUACCAAGGCGACGAUCGGUAGCUGGUCUGAGAGGAUGAGCAGCCACACUGGGACUGAGACACGGCCCAGACUCCUACGGGGGGCAGCAGUGGGGAAUUUUCCGCAAUGGGCGAAAGCCUGACGGAGCUAGACCGCGUGAGGGAAGAAGGCCCUUGGGUCGUAAACCUCUUUUCUCGGGGAAGGCCCCCGACGGUACCCGAGGAAUCAGCCUCGGCUAACUCCGUGCCAGCAGCCGCGGUAAUACGGAGGAGGCAAGCGUUAUCCGGAAUUAUUGGGCGUAAAGCGUUCGCAGGUGGCUUUUCAAGUCCGCGGUUAAAGCCCGGGGCUCAACCCCGGUUCGGCCGUGGAAACUGAAAGGCUAGAGCGCGGCAGGGGUAGAGGGAAUUCCCAGUGUAGCGGUGAAAUGCGUAGAGAUUGGGAAGAACACCUGUGGCGAAAGCGCUCUACUGGGCCGACGCUGGCACUCAGGGACGAAAGCUAGGGGAGCGAAAGGGAUUAGAUACCCCUGUAGUCCUAGCC